rnacentral:rRNA from 1 species
UACGUAGGGGGCGAGCGUUGUCCGGAAUUACUGGGCGUAAAGGGUGCGUAGGCGGCCCUUUAAGUCGGAUGUGAAAGCCCGCGGCUUAACCGCGGAAUGGCAUUCGAAACUGGAGGGCUUGAGUGUCGGAGAGGGUAGUGGAAUUCCCAGUGUAGCGGUGAAAUGCGUAGAUAUUGGGAGGAACACCAGUGGCGAAGGCGACUACCUGGACGAUAACUGACGCUGAGGCACGAAAGCUAGGGGAGCAAACAGGAUUAGAUACCCUGGUAGUCCUAGCCGUAAACGAUGGGUACUAGGUGUGGGUGGUUUCGAUACCAUCCGUGCCGUAGUUAACGCAUUAAGUACCCCGCCUGGGGAGUACGUGCGCAAGCAUGAAACUCAAAGGAAUUGACGGGGGCCCGCACAAGCGGUGGAGCAUGUGGUUUAAUUCGAAGCAACGCGAAGAACCUUACCAGGUCUUGACAUCACCUAGCAAGCCAUGGAAACAUGGCCCUCCUUCGGGACUGGGUGACAGGUGGUGCAUGGUU